AAGCCAGGAUUUAGAGACGGGGGGUGCCAUCUACGAGACGUGGUAACUCACUUAAGGUUCGGUGAACAGUGACAUUGUAGCGUUGAUGUAUGAUCACUAACUCGACAUCAUACAUGUUAUAGCGAUUAGCUAGAAGAGAGAAUGAGAACCUAUAGAUCAUAAUUUGCCAAUUUAAACAGUUUGUUCCAUGAUUUUAAUUGGAGUCUUGCAAUCAUUUUUAAAAUGAUAAAUCAGUUAACUAAGUCAUUUCAUAAGUCCUAUAUAUAUAGCUAGGCAGUUGUCCUAUAUAGUUAGUCUCAUCCGUAACUAAUGAUGUAAUUAAUGGCUAGAUUAUAAGGGCUAAUUAUCUUUGGGAGAAGAGAGGGGAGGGGAGGUCACAUAGGGGUUAGGGGGGUGUUGGCCCUCCCUGGCCCCUACGGUGGCUUCGCCACUGUGUCCGAUGAUGGAUCAGACGACAGGAAGGCGCGCAUGAUGAGGUACUCGGCGAGCUCGUCGGCCUUCGCCUGGGUCGGUGGCCGGUCGUCGCGCUGCUCCAUGGUCCAGUCAUACUGGACGAUCUCGUAGUCGUAGUCAUCUUCGUCGUCGUCGGCGGCGGCGGCGCUCUGGCUGCGGUGCCUGACGUGCUCGAUGGUGUCGACCGGCGGGAGCGAGUCGAUCUGCUGGCCGGUGACGGGGUUGACGAGGCGGAGCUCGGCGGAGUCGGCGUCGGCGGUGACGAUCCAGCCGUGGGAGCUGCCCAGCUAGAACCUGUUGCGGAUGGGGGGCUCAGCCGGCAGGGUCACCUCGUACGUCCUCCCGCCGCCGGCGAGAGCAAAUACGGUGGCGACGCGGUGCCGGUCGCCGUGGUCGUUGCCUUGGUCAGCCGUGUAGACUAGGCACGGGGGCGGCGGGCGGCGGGAGAAGAGCGGGUGGCGCUCACGGACAGAGGCAGCGGCGGCGUGCCAGGAGCGGCAGACGGCGGCGCAGCGGAGGAGGUCGGCGGGGUCGUUGAAGGUGUGGAAGACGGUGGCGAGGAGGUCGAACACCAUGUCCGACCAGCUCACCGGCGACCAGCCGGCGCCGGUCGAUAGGUCCAUCACGCAAAGCGCGCGCGGCUUGGGCUAGCAAGCUUGACGGCUUAGUGCGUGGCAACGUAAGAUAUGACAUGAAGAGGUUAAGGUUGGUUAGUCAUGAUUCCGAGUCAGUAACUAACUGUACCGUGCUAUACCAAUCGGAGAGGUUCACUAUAUCGGUUCAGGGUUUUCUAUCAGGGGUCACCGAAAUCCCAAAAUUUCAAAGAAAUUUAGUUGAAUUUGAACAAAUAUUAUCCAAAUUUGUGAAAAAAUUCAAAAAUUCAAAAAUUUCGGCCGAAUUAAUAUCGUAUCAGGGUCACCAAAAUUACCGAAAUUUCCAACCCUCGGACUAGGUAAUCACGCAGAUUGGAUCGAUCCAUGCAAGUGCAGCCAAUUUUGAGCCCAAGAUCGGCAGAUCCCCCGGCCGCCGCCGUCGCCGCCGCCGGUGAGACUGAUCUCCAACUGAAUGUUUGCUCGAUUCUUCUGACGGCAGCAGCAUUGUCCUCUACCGAUCCCGAUCAAGAUCGAUUUGUCCAUCCUAUCCUCAGGUGUGUGUUUUCUCCUUCUCAUGUUAGUUAAUACUACCUCCGUUCCAAAAUAUAAACAUUUUUGGACUCCGACACGGUCUUCGAGAUGUUACUUUGACCAAUAAUAUCUAUAAAAUUAAAAUAGUUUAAAUAAAAAAAUUGUAUAUUAUGAUAGUUUGUUCAGCGAUAAAUCUAGUAACAUCAAUUUUACGUGAUUGAUCUUUUUUUUGCUAUUAAUAGUCAAAGUUAAAAAUGUUUGACUUGUUACAGAGGGAGCAUAUCCUUUAGCUACAGUCUUAGAGUUCUGGAUUGUAACCAAUUCUCUUUUCUUUUUAAUUCUCUAUAUGGUGGAGAAGACUGGCAGUUCUAUCGAUUUUUGGAGGUGUAACAAGGUAAGAUGUUUGUUGAAAUUGAAGUUCUUCUGAUCAUCUUUUUUUUUGGAACGAAAUAUAAAAAUAGAUUUCAGACUGGAGUCACUGGACAAUAUUACAAUUACGAUUCAACCGUGAUGGAUGGAUGCUAAGACGAGCCCUUUUAAAUAUGCCCUUUGAUGAUAGAUUUUUUUUUUGGAUCUCAGAAGAUGGGCAUUAGCAGUCAUCAUGAUCGUUAUGGUGUUGAUCGUCCCACAGAUGAUGAAAAAAAUGAUGGGGCAACUAAAGACCAUUUGGGUGAUUGUAAAGAAAAUGUAAGGACCACAACAGAUAGCGAAGAACACGACAAGACCAUAGAAUAUCCCGAGAUGGCAACCAGUAGCGAUGAAGAUGCAUCGGAUAGUGAAGAAGAGGCAGGGAUGUCAUCUGAUAGCGAAGAUGACUCCUCUUACAAUCCCCCUAAAAUUGCAAAUACUGCGUUUAUAUUGGAAGAUAGCAGUCACCGUGAUGGUUCUAUAUACAAGGGCAAUAGCGAGUGGAAAAGGACUUAUCGUAUUGCAGAUCUUGAGGAGAGUAAGUGAUCCAGAUAUCCUUACUGUUUUUCUUUAAAAAAAAUCUAUUUUGGUCUUACAAAUUUUAUCAAGCUAUAAAUCAAUCAUUAUAUUUGCUACUGUAAAUACCUACAGGUUUGGGCUCAAGUUGCAGUAUUCUGAAACCCCUAACUAAAAUUGCAACAAACUGAUAAUUUUGACAAAAAUAUGUGUAGUUCUUUUUAUAGAAUUACUCAAAAAAUAUAAAGCGGUUUGACCCAGGAUUUUCUGCAACCCAAUUGAUGUGCAAAAGUAUAGUUUUCUUUCUUUGUACCAAGUAUUUGCUGACCGUAUUAAUUGUUGCAUUGAUUGUAAUAUGACAUGUGAUCAUUGGGGAAGCUCGAUUGGAGGCGAUGAUAUUAUCAGGUCCUAAAUAUUGCGUUAUGCAUGGUGAAACAUGUAUAAGGCAUGGACCAUGUCCUAUGUUGCACUUUUUCUCACUAAAACUGGCUGAAAUUGCUGUCACCGGUGGCCCAGUAGAGCUGUAUGGAUACUUAGCAGCACGGGACCUUUUGGAUCCAUUGCGCAACUAUAUAUUCCAUACUAGCAGGGAUGAUCCCAUCAUAGUGGAGAAGGUGCACAUCCCUACUCUGCAUUUUUUUUAAAUUACUUUGUUUUAUUUCAUAAUAUGAAGUCAUCAUCACAUGCAUACAACAAGAGGAGAUAAUUUUGAUGGUAUUCUAAAAGCAAGUUAAUCUGUUCUACAUCAUCCAAUCAACGGAAAUGUUGUAAUAACUGUGCUCAUGAUGUUUAGACAUAGGCUCAAUUUGCACUCACAAUUUUCUUGAUUUUAAGACAUAUGGUUAGUUUAUGUUGCUGUGACAUUUAUAAAGUGUUUUACUUCAUAGCACAACUUAUUGUGGUUUUGGGAGCACGGCCAUGAAAAGCUAUCUCCAGUUAUCCCCUAUUUCAUAACUCUAUAUUUUUCUAAUUAGUUAAAUGUCCGUGGCCUCAUUCGGCUAGAAACAAAUGCUUAGAUAUUUACUUUUUGUGAAUAUUUCUAUUAUAGUAAUAUUUCGGUGUUAUGGCUGCAAAAACAUGCUUCAAAGUGGUCAACGUACCCAAAAGUAGCAGAAUAGAAACAGUUGAUUGUGUAAGCCAUUACAAUGCUAACCAAGAUUUUGGUUGUGGUAAUUAUACUAUCAAAUAAACCUAUAUAAUUAAAUUAAGCAUGACGUUUUAUGUGUUACAAAGAAAAUCAAACAGAAUAGUUUGGACCUUUAGUAGCUAUCAGAUAAUACAUUUUUUUCAUUAAUUUGUAGGAAUAGAAGAUACACAACACAAACUAUCAUUUUUUUCACUCAUAAUAAGUCCACAAACAUCCAUAAUUUAAUAUUUGACAACUCUAGAUAAAAUUGAAUUAUUCUAUCUGGUAGUUUUGCUAUCUCUGUCAAUCUUAUACACUUGGCAGCCAUUCAAUGUUUGAUGUGUUUAAUAUACUAGGUUCUUUAUUAUUUGUGUAAUGUUCGUUUCACUUUUCACUCAGCUUUAUAUAAUAUAUAUAUAUAUAUAUAUAUAGUAAAAAUAACAUAACGACCCAUUUCGUUGUCCUAUUUUCUUUGAUGAGCUAAUAAAUAAUAAUAUUUCUGUAGGGUUCCCUCAUCGAAAUAUCUGGUCCUAAACGAGGGAUCGAAAUAUUUUUUUUAACGACUCGCACGAGACGGUGCGAACUUCUAUUGAUAGAGCAGGAAAAAAUUACAAGAUUACAACCCUGGAGGGUUAUAACCAGGAAAAAGGAAAAAAAAUACCACCACCCACACGGCGACAUCGCCAACACACUAGCCCAGGAGAAGGCUAACACCGGACCGGCCGCCGCUAAGCGUGACCGACCGCCACUAGACCAACAAAGGGACACAGACGAGAUCGCCUGAGGGGUGAGACAGCACAACAACGCCCUCAGGAGGGGGGAUAACCAUCGUUGUCGGUCCGACCAAGGUCGAACUGGGUUUUCACCCGCCACUCACCACCUGCGAAUCCACGGCUGACGCACCGAUGCUCCACCACCACACAAGCUUUGCCGACAUGUGGGACCCCUACACCGGCGUCCCCCGCCGGCCAGCCUUCGCGCGCCGAAGACCGCGCCACACCCACCAGCAGCUCCUCCUCACACCUAGGUCGCCUCCUCCACUGCCGGCCGCGCCACUCUGCGCCAAGCCGGCCUCCUCUACCGGACGCGUCUCUCGCGCCAAUCCGGCCUCCCUCCAUCGGCCGCGCCUCCCGCGCCAAGCCGGCCUCCAUCUCUGCCGCCCGCGUCUCUCGCGCCGAGCCGGCCUCCGUUGCCAUCGGCUGCGCUUCUCUGCGCCAAGCCGGUCUCCGACCCCUCCACCAAACGAUGUCGCGCCGGCCAGAUGUAGUCGUCUCCCACGCCCUCGGCUAGCCGUCCGAGGCCGCCAUGCCUCUGGUGACCGCAGACACAGUCACCACCACCGCAGCCGCUGUUGCCGAACGCCCAGCCACCUCGCCGUCGCCAUCCUCACCUCGCACCCGACUCCUUCCCCGCCUCCACUUGCUGUAGCCAACAACCCGCAUCCGUCGACGUUACCACCGCCUUCACGGCCGCCGUCGCCGCUGCCACCGACGCCAGCCUCCGCCUCCGCAAACCACUGCGCCGUCCACAUCCGCCGAUGUUGCCGCCGCUGCCGCUACUAGUCGUCGACGCCAGCCACUGCCAUCGCACACCGCCGCCACCGCCAACGCAGCCGCUGCCAGCAACCGCCCCAACGCAGCCGCCAUGCCCUCCGUCGCCGUCGCCAGCCAACGCCGCCACCGCGACAGCCUCGUCGCCGUCACCAGCCGCCGUGACCGCCAGCAGCCACCGGACGCCAAGCACUAGGAGCUCCCGCUCCAGAUCCGCCCACGGGGGGGCUGGAUCCGCCUCCGGCGUGCCUGGAUCCGCCCACGAGGGGGCCCGACCUACCUCCGGCGCGCCUGGAUCCAGUCCGCCGUCGCCAGCCUCGCCGCCAUCUCCAUCCCCGCCGCCAUCUUCAUCCCCGUCGCCGACGGCCCAUCUCCGACGCCGUCGUCACCCCCGCCGCCGUCACCUUCCCCGCCGCCAGCCGCCACCCCGCCAGAUCCGGCCGGAGCGGCGUGGAUCUGGCGGGCUCCACCGCCGCCGCCUUCAGUCGCUCGAGAACCGCCGGUGCCCCAGCGUGCUCCUUGAGAGAGGAAAAGGAGGCCCCGCCGCCACCGUCCUUGCCGCCGCGCGGCUUUGCCGGCGGCUGCUCUGGCGGCGGCGAGGCGGGAGGGAGGAGGAGGAAGCUGGCUCGCGGCACGUGGUGUCGCCGCCCGUGUCGCCUGGGGCGAGCGACGCGGGCGGAGUUGUCUCAACUUAUGGACCAAGGAAUUAAUUGUAGGGAUCGAAAUAUUAAGUGAUGUCCUAAUCGAGUUUGAUAUGAGGAUAAAGACAGGAGCAGAACAAGAAGAUGAUCGACAGCUGAUUGAUGGUGUAUUAGUCAUUGGUUGUGAGACACCAACAGAUGUAACAUUGAGAAGACGCAUCCAUGGCGAUUGCGGUGCGGUCGAGAUAAAAUUUUCACAUCUGCAUCAUGCAGUGGAGGCGACGGUACAGGUUGCCGUAUUGGAAGUGCAGAGUCAUUUCAAUCUGUCUAUCUGUUCUUAUGUGGGUUCGUUACCUGACGAAAUGCAGCUAUUUUGUGGCCACAUAGCCGAGCCAUGUGGCCUAAAGAAGUUUGUUCUUGCUGCAAUGAUGCGUAAUUUGCUGCGAUUGAAGUUGAAGGUAAGCCAAGGAGGGUCUUACGCUGAACAUUUUUGCUCGUUCGAACCAAAUCACCAUGGGCAUUCAUGUCAGCAGAUAAAUACUGAGUUUGCAUCCUUCCUGGUGAAGAUUACUUGGUCGACUUUGGACUUUGGAAAUCCACAGAAUUAUCUGUAAUUCACAACCGAGGCUACGGUAAUAAGUUAGUGUAUUCAAUUAUUUUUCUCAUUGAGUUAAUUAAGAUGAGGCCUUUCUGAGUAUGACUCAAAUUUAAAAAGGAUCCUAAUGUCACUAAUUCUUUCUAAUUCUUCCUAAACAUGAGGCAUUUUUUUAGCCUGCGAGAAGGUCAAUAUAAUAAUAUGUUUCGCAUGUCACGAGUCCCUUCUUGUUUUUUAUAUAGUUGGAACCCACUGCAAGCAUGACAUCACUCGCCUGUUAGCUCGUGACAUCACUGAGCCAACCGUGAAAUAAAGAUGGUAACAUGAAGAAUUUUUAAAAAAGGAAUGUGAACGAGGCCUAAGAUGUAAGAUAGCCCACCUCCUUACGGGCUCCCAGCCUCCUGCAGUCCUGCUUCUCUCCUGGCCCAGUCCUGCUUCUCUCCUGGCCCUCCUCUAUGAAGUAAGAAGUAAUAAGUUCACUUUACAUUUCUCAACUAUGAGUCAAAUUCUAUUUGCAUCCCUUACCCAUGAAAUCGGGUAUAAAACGUCAUCUAAUUAUCAAAACCAGUGCAAAUAGAGUCCCUUAGCGGUUUAGAUGGCAAUUUUAUCCUACAGUUACCCACGUGGCAUGUUGGCAUGAUCUUUAUUCCUAUGUGGCGCUUGCGCUUAUUUGGGAUUAGAAAAAAAAUAGAAAAAUAAAAAAAAACUCAAUGGACCCAUAUGUCAUUAGGAAAACAAAGACUCAAAUGUGGCCCCACCUCUCCCUCUCCUCUGUUCCUCUCUCUCUCUCACUUAGCGCUGGGGUGCGGUUCAGCGGAGGACGGCAUGGCGCCGACACAGCUCGUCGCACAACCUCGCGCGCAGAAGCCGAUGGCCCGAACGGCGAUUGGGAGGCCGCCGGUGGCCGCUGCUGCCUCCUUCCCGUGGAUGAGCUGGCAUGGCAAGGUCGGGAUGGUGGAUCGAUAGUGGAGUUGAUAGAGGAAGGGCGAGGCAGGGCGAUGGGGGAAGCAACAACACUGUUAGAGUAUAUUUGGUAGUUGUAGGAAUAUUAGGAUAGGAUUGAUUUGAUUAGAGUAUUUCCUUAUCUCUGUAUCAUCCUUAUCUCUACCCGUGUAAUCUCUAUAUAUUUCAGUCCCCAAGACUCAGUACAAUCAUCUAACUCCUCUCUACACUAUUCAAUAUGGUAUCAGAGCGGGCUACGUUCUAGCACCAAAAUUCAUAGUCCUAGGAUCUACAUGGUAUCAUAUCUAGACAAAUGGUUGUCCAGAUUUAUUUUACUGGGCAUAGGUUGUCUUUUUUCUGGGACGAAGGGAGUAUGUGGCUAGUGUGGUUUGAAUCUUGCAAAAAGUUAUUCAUGCACAAGACGCAUGGACAGUGAAAGGACUAAUGUUUCUGUGCCUUGAAGAGAGAUAUGCAUGCCCCCCAUAAAUUUAACUUGUUCACGUACAGGAUCCUAGCAUGUCCCUAAUUAUAUGGGUUUAACUUAUUAACGUACGAACUCUCAAUAUAUAAUAGUGAACGAGUGAUAGGAAGUUAGGAACACAUAUAUCAUUUGCAUUACUUUUGACAUGAUCCGAAAUCUAAGGCCAACAAAUUAUGGCACGCAUAAUUUUCUAAAUCACUAUUGUCGGAGAAAACUGCAACUUUACAAGUUAAACUGUCUUCCAAUACUCUUCAUCAUGCAUGAUCUCAUCAUGCACUGGAAAAUACUCAAUUUUUCACCAAAUAUUCAGUGCUGACUGGAGUACUGGACACGCAUAUAUAGACCUCUGAAUUGUAUCCUGGACCUUGAAUGACCAUCAGACUUUACUAGUACUCGAUAGGAACAUCAGAACUAAUAUUUCAGCAGUAAUCAACUGACUCUGUCCAGGCUGGUAACAUCAGAACUAAUAAUUCAGCAGUAAGCAAUUGACUCUAUCCAAGCUGAUAGUACAUCAUACUCCUAUCUAACUAAACAGCAGACAGAAUCUAGGUACAACACUUGUAUGGAGUGGAGAUCUAAUCUUUUUAUAAAAAAAAUGAGGAGAAUUUUUUUUAAAAAAAAAAUGUGCUUCUAGCUUCCAACAUGCUGAGUUGCUGACUCUGUGACGCCAAUAUUUUUUUUGAGAACAAUGUGACGCCAAUUCAGAGAGGCCAUGUUCAGUCCUUGUCACAAAACAUAUGGUCAACUCAGGCAAAACGCGGCAGAGACCUUUUGUCACAGUAAUUCGCACAUAAAAAAUGAAAGUAUACAAGAUAAAUGCAGAGUUGACAGAGUCACAGGCCACACUCCUACACCACAAAGGCUUCCAGACCAAGAAACCUUCCUCUCAAUUUACUGAAAAAAAUCAGGGGCAAUUUGUGCUUCUGAUACUCACGUAUAUUUCAUACACACGUGAAUGCUUUUAAUAGAAUUCAGAGAAUUAGAGAAUAGAAAGUUGUCGUUGACUCCAUCUCUUUAACAUAUUUUAGGAGCAUGCUUAUAGAUUCACACAAGUAUGAACACAUAUAGUGAUUUGUAUAUGCGUUCUCCACAUGAUUCAGAAAAAAAAAAGAACAAUGACAACUUGAUUUCAUUGAAUUUAUUGUGGCGCAUUUACAGAUAUAUAGUGAUGGAAGCAGUUUGGUGCAAGACAAAAGUAGGCAGGCGAAGUUACAUCAUGUACACUUUUGACUUGGUCAAACGCAAAUUAUAUACUGACAGUGACAGGACCUAAUUACAGCAGUAUAGUAUUAAUUAAUUGUUAAAAGAGAGUUUCUAAUCAAUUCUACUUGCAAUUCUCCAAGAAGAUAGCCUUUGCCAUCAUCUAUUGCUCUGAUUUAGAAUUAUAUGUGAAAAGAGUCUCUCUCUAUUAGGGGAGCGAGAGGAGAUGUCUACUCAUAUAUUUUUCUUCCAAAUUCGAUUCAAAUAGUUGUAAAAAAUUAUAGAAAAAAAUUGAUAAUAUUGAGUAUUGUUAUACCUAUCUGUGCAAAAAAAAAAUCAAGUUCAAUGCUGUAUCAGCGUUGUCAAUUUUUUUUAGAAUUUUUCAUAAUCGUUUCAAUGCUUUUUAAAUAAACAAGGAAAUAUCAUCUCUUGAGGAUAACACACAAUUAGAUUAGACAUGCUUGGACUGAUGACUUAGUCAAAAGAGAAGUCCGAUCACUUAUUAAUUUCUUGUGCAUGUGCAUCCAACAACCUUCGUCAGCUAGCCAAGAACAAUAAGCAACUUCAUAGUGUCCUAGCAACGGCGUCACCGGCCAUGGCUUCCGGCCAUCUCGUCGCCGUCGCCGUCGUCAUCGGCUCGCUCUGCGUCGCGGCAGUCGGUCAGGGGAACAAUAUCGUGCUCCCGUUCGCGCCGUCGUGCUCGACCGCCGGCAACUACACCGGCGACAGCCAGUACAAGAAGAACCUCGACCAGCUAUUCACCACCCUCUCCGCCGGCGCCAUCGCCGGCGACUGGUUCAACACCAGCUCGGUCGGGACGGGCGCCGACCAGGUGUUCGGCCUCAUCAUGUGCUACGCCGACCGCAACUCGACGCAGUGCCAGGAAUGCCUCGCCGGCGCUCCGGCCGGGAUCGUGCAGGUGUGCCCGGGAAGCCGAACGGCGGACGCCAACUACGACGCCUGCCUCCUCCGCUACUCCGACAAGUCCUUCUUCUCCGAGCUCACCUACGGCGCCGACCCCACCAUCGCCUGGAACGUCUACUUCACCCCCUUCGUCGACAACAUGACCACCAUGAACGACACGCGGCGGCGGCUGAUGAGCCAGCUCGCCGAGAGGGCCGGCGACACCAAGCUCAGGCUGGACAACGGCAGCUUGCCGUACGCCGACUCGAAGCUCGGCACGUCGGCGUUGUACGGGCUGGCGCAGUGCACGAGGGACCUGGCGGCGAGCGAGUGCCGGAGGUGCCUCAGCGGCUACGUCGACGACCUCAGCAACACCUUCCCCAACAACAGCGGCGGCGCCAUUAAGGGGUACAGCUGCUACCUCAGGUACCAUCUUUGGCCGAUCGACAUCACGCUGCCGCCGCCGCCGUUGCCACCGCCGUCGCGGCCUCCGUCGUCGUCUCCGGCACCGCCUUCACCUCCUCCCUCGGUGUCGGGAGGACUCGUGGCCGGAUCGACCGUCGGCGCCGUCUCGUUCUUGGUGGUUCUUGGUGUCUCAAUCUGGCUCCUCUUGCGCCGGCGGCGGAAGCGCGCCGGCGAGGCGAGGGAGCUGGAGAUGGACGAGGGCGACUUCUUCGACGAUGAGGCCGAUGACUUUGAGAAGGGGACUGGUCCCAAACGGUUCCACUACGGCGAGCUCGCCAUCGCCACCGACGACUUCUCCGACGAGCACAAGCUCGGUGAAGGCGGGUUCGGGUCAGUGUACAGAGGAUUCUUGAAAGAGUUGAACCUUGACGUCGCCAUUAAGAGAGUGUCCAAGAGCUCGAAGCAGGGGAGGAAGGAGUACGCGUCGGAGGUGCGGAUCAUCAGCCGCCUCCGCCACCGCAACCUGGUGCAGCUCAUCGGCUGGUGCCACGGCGGCGGCGAGCUCCUCCUCGUCUACGAGCUCAUGCCCAACGCCAGCCUCGACACCCACCUCUACAGCGCCAACGCCGGCGUGCUCCCAUGGCCACUCAGGCACGAGAUCGUGCUCGGCAUCGGCUCGGCGCUGCUGUACCUGCACGAGGAGUGGGAGCAGUGUGUGGUGCACCGCGACAUCAAGCCGAGCAACAUCAUGCUCGACGCCGCCUUCAACGCCAAGCUCGGCGACUUCGGCCUCGCCAGGCUCGUCGACCAUGGCCGGGGCUCACACACCACGGUGCUCGCCGGCACCAUGGGGUACAUGGACCCGGAGUGCAUGAUCACCGGCAGGGCGAACGCCGAGUCCGACGUGUACAGCUUCGGGGUCGUCCUACUUGAGAUCGCCUGCGGCCGGCGACCGAUAAUGGCGGACCACCAAUCCGAGGUAGACGAAGACCGGAUCCACAUUGCUCAGUGGGUCUGGGAUUUAUACGGCAAUGGGAGGAUUCUUGACGCCACUGACCGGCGGCUCAACGGCGAGUUCGACGGCGGGGAGAUGGAGGCUGUCAUGGUCGUCGGGCUCUGGUGCGCGCACCCUGACCGGAGCCUGCGGCCAACGAUCAGGCAGGCCGUCGGCGUGCUGAGGGGCGAGGCGCCGCCGCCGAGCCUCCCGGCGAGGAUGCCGGUGGCGACGUUCCUGCCGCCGGUUGAUGCUUUCAACCACACAUCAUCUUCAGUUGCGACAGGAAGCAGCAGCGCCAGCACAGACACUACUCGGUCGUCCAGGACGACCGAGACAUCUUCCUUGCUGAAAUGACACUUGAGCAAUGACGUUUUUUAUCAGAUUAAUUAACUGCAAAAAUGAAUUGAUUUUGACAGGAGCAUCAUACCUGUUUUUGACUAGAGUAUGCAGCUGAUUUUGGACUGGUAAUAUGAUGAACAUUAGUUACAUAACACAAGAACACAAUGGCACAAACAUAAAAGGGAUACAGCUAUUGACACUUUCAGCAUAAUAAUUAGUGUUCUCAUUUAUUAUUGCCCCAAGCCAUCAUAUAAAAGGGACUUCAGAAAGGUAGAUCAACAGCUCAUAAUAAUUCACAGUGUAUGUCUAUUUUCAAAACCAUUUACAACGAAAAGGCCGGUCUAAUGGCGUCCCUUCCCCCCAACCUACGCCCAGCCGACCUCUCCAAUCUCCUUUGCUUUCUUCCUUCCAUUGGACCAUUCACGGUACAGGGGAAGUAUAAUCAAGAGUUCUCCAAUAGAUUGUAACUGGUACUAAUUAAGCAGCAGUGGCAACUGGAGUGUCAGGAUGGGCUCCCCAUUCAGUCCAUGAUCCAUCAUAUACAGGAACGUCGGUUUUGCCAAGGCGGUGGAGGCCCUAAGAAGAAAGCAUAGGUUAUGCGACGUAAUGUAACAAUUGCAAAGUAAAUCUUGUGAACUUCCAAGUCACAGGUAGUCUUACCAGAGCUAAUAUACAUGCUGUCACACCAGUACCACAUGAGGACACCAGGGGUUGAUCAAGCGAUAUACCUGACGAAUAUCACAACAAAGUAGUAAAGUUAUUGCCAAUAUUACCAAAGAUGUUGCCAUAAUUUUAUAUUUCAUAAUUCAUACUUGCUACCACAGAUCUACAUCAAAAUACCACAGAAAAAUGAUGCUAGUAACAACCACUACCAAUAAACAAAGCACUGCAAGAAGUCAUGCCUGGUCAUUACAAUCAUAUAAGCGACAACACCUGGCACUAGUUGGUUAAUUAACUCAACCAUCAACUUAUACAAAAAUAUAAAUAAGAGGCUCUUAAUGUUUCAAAAGACCCAGAAGGCCAAAACAUUAGGUUCAUGGUUAAGAUAUAGGCAUGUUUCAGAAUGGGGAAUAGGAUUGCAAACAUGGCUAAGCAGGGCAUUGUCAGCAGACAGAAAGAAUUUGAAACUUUAUCUGGAUAAAAAUAUUACCUUCUUGUUCAAAUCGUUUACGGAGCUCUUCUGGAGGUAAUAGCUUUUGCGAACUGUCAAGCAACUGCAGAAGAACAAACAAAGAUUCAGCAAAAAGAAUUGGUAAUACACAAAGAUUAAAAAUACAAAAAUAUGGUCACAAAUGAACCCGAAUAAAUAAUUAAUCCAAUGAGACCAAAGACAACCAAAGAUCAGGUAAAAGUAAUUAUCCAAAAUUUAUGUCCAAAAGAGUACAAGUUGAUUGGAUAAUUGCAAGUCUCCACCUGAGGGAAAGGAACACAUUUGCUCCCAGGCACAUGCCCACUUCUUAUUCCUUUCCGUGGCUCUGGAACUGCACCAUCAAAUCUGAAGUGAAAGCUUCAUGUUAGUAUUCAAGACCAAUGACCAACAUUACAAAGACACAACCCAAUGAAGCUUGAAGCAUUCACAUUUUUAUGAGGUAAUAUGGCAAAUCUACCGCAAUUACUGACACAAAAAAAAACAAGUCAGAAGAGUCGAAAAGAUAAAACACCAUAAGAGUCUGGAAUGCCUACUAUGUUGGUGAGGUGUUACAUGGAAUCAUGGUUGAACUGGAAAAAGAUUACUUAAAAAGGCAAAAGCCAAACAGCCGACUUUAUUGGCAAUGAAGAUCUUGACAGAUACUAGUGAGUCUAUGGAUAUAUUAUCCAAAUCAAUGUACUAGGCCUAGGGAGGAACAUGGUCUGUAGCCAGUGACGACAGGGUCUGCUGCCGUGUAGAAUUUAGUUCAUUACUUGAAUAUCGAAUGAUUCCUGCAAAAUUUUGCCAUUGUCUCCAAAAUUGGAAGUGCCUUUUAUAAAAUCCACCAUAACCCAAUGGAUCCUUAAGCAUAAAGGUAAAGGCUUUAUAUACAUGUAAUCGUGUAUGGUAUAUAAUCUGGACUUUUCCAGAAUUAAAAUAGCAGAUUUACCUAGGCUUUCCUCGAGCAUCUAUAAGUUGAUGUGUCUUGGCAUCAAUGUUCUCUUUUACCUGAGAAAAAAAAUCAUGAACUAGUUAUACCAAACAUGCGACUGAGUUUAAUAAAUGGUGAAGAAAUGUAUGGGCAAGAUUUUCAGCCUGAAGACCUCUAACCUGGUCAAGAUUCCAAAUAAGAUGAGGCUGCAACUUUGCUUCAAAUGUGGAGGGACCAACCUACAAAGAUAAUAAAAAGUUAUGUGUGACUGAAGGUCAAGCUAAGCACCAUUCACAGCAGCUACUAGCAUGAGUAUCACGAUUCAGGGGUUGACAAGUACAUAACAGGAGUAAGGUCCAAAUGUUAGAACAAACAAAAUAGAGGUUUAAUUCAACUUACCAACUGCCCCUGAUAAACUUUCUCAAUUGCUUCACGAGCAGCACUGGCUUUUAAGAUGGCAUCACUAGAGGCACUUGAUUCAACAUCAUACCCAGAAGCACGCCAUUGGGGCAAACCACCAUCCAACACCCAAACUUUAUCAUGUCCGAAAACACGAAACAUCCUGAUAUCAAGGAAGCAGGCAUCGCACAUGAAAUUUAAUUCAAUUAUCAAAAUUAACAACAAAGGAACAUAUUGCAAAUGCACUAGUAAGAACGGCUUAUGAUCAUUUAAGGGGAAAAAAGAUUGUCUGUCGUUUCUGCCUGAAUUCUACUCUUGAUGUUUACUUUGGUUUCAAGAAGAAGCAGCUUACCACCAAACACGAGCAGCGCUAAAUAGUCCCUUUCCAUCAUAAACUACUAUCCCAUCUUUGUUGUAUAUUCCAAGCGAAGAUACAGCAGCAGAAAAUGCCUUUUCAGAUGGCAGCAUGUGCGGCAACUGACUCAAAAGAUAAUACAUUCAAUGAUAUCAAGCAUGCCGAAAAACAAUUAAUCAGCUCAACAAUAACCAACACAAAGAAAUCAAGAAUGAUGCCAUGUUUUGCAAUUCAUAUUCCUAUCAUAAUAAGGGCAUUAUGUUGAAUUGUUGAUCUACUUAACCAAACAGGAUUAAAAAAACAUGUUAAUUUAUUAGUGUUACUUUUUUAUCAUGAAGAUUGACAGUAGUAGAUGAAAAAUACAGUCAAGGAGAAAGGGAAAGAAAAUUUAAGUGCCAUUACACCAGCUAGUACAAUAUAAAAGCUUGACGUGAUCUGAAAGAAAUCAAACUUGAGUAACUUAUUAUCACUUUUUUUACACCAAUCAGGGGAUUGGGACAGACCACCAGAUCACAACACACACAAAUGUUAUCAACCGUGUUGUGAUCUGUCAGUCCCUGUUUUACUUCACCAGCUUCAACCUUUUACCUUCUGGUGUUGCCUAAAGCUAUUUUUGUUGACCUGUAUGAGUGGAACUUAAAUGUAUUGACAUACUGAACUAAAUGCUUUCGCUUCAUGUAUUUAAGGAAUUGGGUUUACCAGCCCCUAAAUUUGCAUAGCACAAGCCCAUAUUCUGGCAAUUUAUAAUGUUAUAUUAAUAAAAAAUAACAUCAGAAAAGCAGGAUGAUGUGGCACAUAAAGAAAGUUCAUAUGAUUAGCUAGUAGUAAAUGAAAAAACAAGCUAGUGAGUUGAACUUACGCUUGAUGUUCUGUCUGAUAUUCCAUCAACAUCAAAGAAUAGCGCCCCAGGAAUAUGAGCCACCUGGAAACAAGAUUAAAAUGCAUAUGAAAGCAUCAGAACUUCUGCUACUAUAAUUUCAAAUGAACUGAUAAAAACAGAAAAUUAAGGUAACAAGGAACCAGUGAAAAUAAGAGCAUAUAAACAAUCAGAUAAGAAAAAUGGCGUCACAGCAGGUGGUAAGAAUUCCAAAACUGCAAAACCUCAGUAUGGCAUGUAAUCGCUACCUGGUACUCCUGAAGAGGAUUCCUUUGUUCGGCAGGCAUAUACCAAGAGGCAUCAAGUACCUUGACAGAAACAAGAGGAUGAUUCAAUGAGAUAUAGUGGAUUCAAGGAAGACAAACAUUUUUAACAGGGAAAAGAAAACUAUCCAGUGACUACUGUUAUAGUGUUAUUAUUAUACUAGACUCAUUUAUCCUACUGAGAGUAUAUCAUAAUGCAUAUGAAAAAGAACUUUAAUACAAAUGCAGCUUCUGUUGUAAAAGCGAAAGUAGCCAAUGGAAAGCCAGUGCCAUCCUGAAUGUGCUGUAGUCUGUAGUACAAAGACCUCAUGCUUUUCCUCAACCAUCAAUCCGCACAGCUAACGCGACAAACUCAGCAAUAAUAAGUCACUAGCCAUCCUCCUACGAUUUAUAUCUCUCUUCCAUCAUCAAUCAAACUGCCAGCAUGGUAGAACGCCAGCAACUAGCAAUUCACUAUCAGUUUAUUAGCUGUAGCACGGUAUAUGCAACAAUUCACAAAAAUUAUCUUCCAGUUUAUUAGUUGUAGCACAGUAUAUGCAACAAUUUCACAGGUCAACCGCAGAUCGCUACAGUCCCAUCACUGCGCACACUACCUUCACAUCGGGGUCCUUGAGGUUGGCGUGCAGCCACUCGGCCGAAACCACGGGCUCCGUCCUCGGCAGCGCGUUGGUAGCCUCCGAAACGGCCGACGACGAGGUGGCGUUGCAGCGCGCCGCGAUCCCGAACGAACCGACGCCCCCCAGCGCCGCCGGCACCGACGCCCUGCACCCGAACCCGGCGCCCUCCUCGGCGGCGCGCGCCCAUCCGACUCUUCCCCCCUGCACCCGCACAAAACACACAAACCACCGUCAGGCCGGAGAGAUCAGGGAGAAGGCGGAGCGGCGUCGGAGUACGACCGCGAGGAGCGAGGCGAUGGUGGUGGCGAGGAGGAUGAGGAGGGGAGGAGGAAGGAGGGUUUCCUUGGGGAGGGAGGAGGACAGUAUGUGGUGCGAGCGGGCGCCGCGGAGGGAGACGGCGGCGGCGGCAGCGGCCCGGGAGAGGAGGGUGGCCGCCAUGGAUAGGGUUUUGGGGGGUUCUAGAAGGUUCGCGAAGGGGUUGGUGGCGGAAGCGAGAGGAAGAAGGGGAAGAGGUGGAUGGGUUGGUACUACUUCGUUGCUCGACGAGUGUUUAUUAAUCCGCGGGGAAAGGAAACCAACUGGUUUCGCGGGAAUCCGCGGCGCCUACGGUUGGGCAGAAGAGCCAGUGUAGCUUCGCAGGCCUCUCCUGAAACGCACAAAGUUUAUCUAGAAAAUCAGCAGUGAGUAUUCCUGUAAAGGCUUUUUUUUUUUCGAGAUGUAAAGGUAGAAAAGUGUAAAAACUAAAUUUUUUAUCGUAUCAAAUCUCGUUGAGAUUCAUAGCAAAUUAUUUUUUAAUGAUACUAGCAAAAUAAACUAAAAAUAUUUGUUUUUAACCGAAGUUAUUUUCACACUACUUUUGCUCGCUAGAAAAAGUCUUAAAUGAUAGAGAGAAAUGUAGUAGCUCAUAAUAAAUUAUUAUUCAAGAAUAAUUUCAAAAAAAGGAGAUAAAAAAGACAAAGCCGGUUUGAUUUCCAACUUUACACGGUGCGAGUCAAUAUGGACUCUGAAGAUAUAGGCAGAUCUACGAGGUGGCUUAGCAACACGAUCGACCUGUGAAUCAGCAAGCAACCUCAGACCAAUCGAUGGUCGAUUGACGACCGCAGCUGCGUCUGGCCGUCCGUUUCCCUUCCGCGACAGUGGUGACCAUGACUAUGUGAUGUUAUUAUUUUAGUAUUUCUUACUUUUAAUUCUGGAUUUUUGUUAUUUCUAAUUAUAUUUUUAUGUGAACUCUAAACUUAUUUUUCAAUAUUCUUUAUUUUUUAAUUCAGAAUUUUAGUUAUGUAUAAGUUAUAAUUCUAUAUGGAUUCUAGACUCUUUUUUCAAUAUAUUUUUUAAAAUUUUAAAAUUUAUUUAUUUAUAAAUUGUAUUUCUAUAUGGACUCUAAUCUCUACCUUUAAUUUUUCUUAUUUUUUAAUUCUGGAUUUUAAUUAGCUCUAAAUUGUAUACCUCUAGUUUCAUGCUUGUUAAUGAACCAUCAAUUUAUAGCAUGUGGAUUUUGAGCGACAACUAUACUAUAUGUUGGUUUUUAAGAAACCGGUACCUAUAAUAUAGUGUCGGUUCUUAUAAAAAAACAACAAAAAAAACCGUGCUGAGCCAAGCCGAGGCAACAUCCUUAUCCAGUCCCCCUCCCACUCUCUCUCGCUCUCCUCUAGUCCUCUCACUCUCUCACUCUCACUCUCUCUUUCUUGGUCCUCGAUCCGCGGCGGCGGCGGCUCCAUCCGCCGCCUCUCUUUUCCCUCCCGCGGCGGUGGUGGCGUCAACGGCAGGCGGAUCUGGCGGCAGGUGUUCUUGGAUGUGAUGUGAUGUAUGUUGUUGUUCUUGGAUGAUUAUUUUAUGAUUUUGUGAUGAUUGUGGUUGAUUUUUGGGGGUAAAGAGUGGUUGAAUUUUAUUUUUUUUAUCCGAUUCUAAGAGCGAUUGGGAUUCGGGGGAGCUGCAAAGGUGGCCUUCGUCCAUCUUGUGACGAAUGGAAAAUUACCAAUCUUUUAAUUAGUUAAGAUGUAUAAUGUAAUUGUUGAAUAUACUUGUGAAUUGGUACAUGAAGAAAAUGCGUGAAUUUGAAUUGACGGCACAUCCGAAUCACGUCAUACAAAAAAAUAUAUAUCUUUUUAAUGUAAUUGUGGAAAUAUUCUUAUGCAUUGCUAAAAGUGUGGACUUGAACUGACGACACAUCUAAAUCAUGGCACAUAAAAAUUAUACCUAUUGUAAUUAUGAAAACUGACGACAUAUCUAAUAAUGAAUAUCAAUGUUAUUAUUUUUUUAGGGAGUAUUGUUUUCUAUUUAUAAAUCACAUUUGAGAUCAAAUAUGAAGAAAAAAAAAGAGGAAGAAGCAGAGUAGACGGGGAGAAAAAAACAAAGACAAAAGCAAGGGAAGCGCAGUGGAUAGAGAGGGGCAAUAAGAAAACAGCAGCAGCAGUGUCUCGUUUAUUCCACUCACUCUCUCUCGAUCUCUCCCCCCACACGAUAUGUCCUUCCUAUCCUUUCCCACUACUUUACUUCCCACUACUUUACUUUCUCUCUCCUCUCUCCCUCGUAUGCAUUGUUAAUGUUUGUAGUGUCAUAAUUACAAAUCCCCCGGCUCUGGCGAGGCGUUGGAUUUAGGCGGUCCUCUCUCUCGUUUUGCUCUCCUCUCUCUCUCUCGGUCUUCUCUCUCGCUCUCCUCUCUCUCGGAGCUGAGGCGACAGGCGGUGGCGCAAGAGGGGAGGCUGCGGCGGGUAGAGACGGUGCGGCCCAGCGGCGGGAGGCGGCAUCGAUCGGCGGUGAUGGCCACGCCCUCCCAUCUGCGGCAGCGGCAUGCAGCGAGAGGAGCGGCGGCCGCUCGGAGGCGCCCUUCCUCGGGCAGAUCCGACGGGAGGAAGGGUAGUGGCGGCCCGACAUCGCCACCACGGCCUCGGGGCAGCAGUGUCCUCGGCCUGCCAUGAUUUUGUUGUUGGAUUUGUGAUUUGAUUUUCUGGGAUGAUUUUUUUGUUGGAUUUGUGAUUUCCUGAUUUAGUGGAUUUGUGAUUCAUUUUCUAUCGUUUCUUUGUAUUGUCGCUCAGAUGGAUCGGAUCGGGAGGGAGGUAAUACAUGGAUAUUAGGUUUGUUCUGGGGAUCAAAUUUAUGAGGUCGAGAUUAAAUUUGGUAUUUUCGUGUUGUGUUUUUGGUUGUCUGAUUGAUUGAUUGAUUUGGGGAUCUAGCUCGGGUUUUUUUUUUUUUUGAAGAUAGACUCGGACUCAAACGAACGAAGCAGGGACGGAUCGCACGGACGAGUGAAAAAUUGCGCAUACCGACGAAAGUUUGGGUGACAAAAGGAAAAUUACAAAUCUGUUAAUUAGUUAAGAUAAGAUAAGGCGUAAGAGUGCGAGACCAAAUUUAUUUGUAGGGUAGUGCGCUAGGCAAGAGUAUAUAUAGGACAUAUGCCGUAUAUCGGUUUUUAUAUUGUAAGUCAGUUGUAAGGGUAGAUUUACUUGCUCACGAGUUUAUGCAAAUUUUAACAUUUUAAAAGGAAAAAAAAUAUGUUUUCUAUUUAAAAGAUCCAAAAGUUUGCAACCGCAACAAAAGAUUGCACAAGUUAAAGAAUAGGACAAUCGCUACCGUAGCCUGUUGGAGUCACCUACCGUCUAGAAGGAUGCUUUUUUAUGAAGAGAAAAACAUGCCGCUCCUCCUCAAACCGAAUCGGAUCCAGAAUUGCAGAUUCAUGUGACAAGCAUCAAUCAUCAUGCCUGACGUCUGAUCUUCACAAUGGUAAAAAAAAUGUUGAACAAUUAUUUGGUCAGUGGGAGGACCGACUGGACAGUAACCUUGGGUAAUCUGACCAUCCGAAGGAUAGGCAGUAAAAGAAACUCCAUUAUGUUCAGACACUAUAAGCAAUAGAAAUGUUCCAUGAGAUGAUCGCGAUCUUCCGUGAAAUGCAAUUCUGAAAGUCUCAGAUUUUCAAUGUGUUCCGUUUCCAGCAGGCUGGUAGAUCAGAGAACCCUAUGACUGUCACUGAUUCACUGAUUUUCAAUGUGUUCUUAAACCGGUAGAAUGGAUAUGUAGCCUGAAAACAGGACAGUUAACAAAUCAAUCCAAUUUGGGAGCUUCGGAAGCGUGUACGUGAUAAUCCAUAGUCUACAAGAAAAGGAACAGGGCCUAAACAGGGGUAAAAAUCAAUCCAAUUUUGCAAUUGAUCUGAUACAUAAAAUGCAUGUCAAAUUAUCAAUACUCAAUAUGUCAUCUUAGCAAGGACGAUGUCUCAGUGUGAGGAGCGCCAGUGCUGCCGCUGCUGCUCCCUGUCACAGCCAAAGAUGACGUGUAGCCAAAAGCAUCAAUCGGUGGCAGGAACGUCGCCACCGGCAUCCUCGCCGGGAGGCUCGGCGGCGGCGCCUCACCCCUCAGCACGCUGAUGGCCUGCCUGAUCACCGGCCUCACGCUCCGGUCAGGGUGCGCGCACCAGAGCCCGACAACCAUGACACGCUCCAUCUCGCCACCGUCGAACUCGCCGGUGAGCCGCCGGUCAGCAGCGUCAAGAAUCCUCCCAUUGCCGUACAAAUCCCAGACCCAUUGAGCAAGGUGGAUCCGGUCUUCGUCUACCUCGGAUUGGUGGUCCGCCAUUAUCGGUCGCCGGCCACAGGCGAUCUCAAGGAGGAGGACGCCAAAGCUGUACGCGUCGGACUCGGCGUUGGCCCUGCCGGUGAUCAUGCACUCCGGGUCCAUGUACCCCAUCGUGCCGGCGAGCACCGUGGUGUGUGGUCCCCGGCCGUGGUCGACAAGCCUGGCGAGGCCGAAGUCGCCGAGCUUAGCGUUGAAGGCGGCGUCGAGCAUGAUGUUGCUUGGCUUGAUGUCGCGGUGCACCACGCACUGCUCCCACUCCUCGUGCAGGUACAGCAGAGCCGAGCCGAUCCCGAGCACGAUCUCGUGCCUGAGUGGCCAUGGGAGCACGCCGGCGCUGGCUUUGUAGAGGUGGGUGUCGAGGCUGGCGUUGGGCAUGAGCUCGUAGACGAGGAGCUCGCCACCGCCGUGGCACCAGCCGAUGAGCUGCACCAGGUUGCGGUGGCGGAGGCGGCUGAUGAUCCGCACCUCCGACGCGUACUCCUUCCUCCCCUGCUUCGAGCUCUUGGACACCCUUUUAAUGGCGACGUCAAGGUUCAACUCUUUCAAGAAUCCUCUGUACACUGAUCCGAACCCGCCUUCCCCGAGCUUGUGCUCGUCGGAGAAGUCGUCGGUGGCGAUGGCGAGCUCGCCAAAGCGGAAUCUCUUCGGCCCUGUCCCCUUCUCGAAGUCGUCUUCCAUGGCCGUCUCAUCAUCGAAGAUGCCCCCCUCUUCCAUCUCCUGCUCCUUCGUCAACCCAGCAUGCUUCCGCCGCCGGCGCAAGACAAACCGGACUGAGAAACCAAGAACCACCAAGAACGAGAUAGCGCUGACAGUCAGGCCUGCCACAAGCCCCGCUGACACUGAGGGAGGAGGUACUGGCGUCGCCGGAAUCGGCGGCGGCGGCGACGACGACAAUGGUGACGGCGCCGGCGGCAGAGUGAUGUUGAAUGGCCAAAGGUCGAACCUCAGGUAGCAGCUGUACCCCUUAAUGUUGCCAGCGCUUUGGUUGGUGUAGUACUGGCCGAGGUCGUCAACGUACCUCUUCAGGCACUUCUGGCACUCGCUCCCGCUAGGUCCCUCGUGCACUGCGCCAGCCCGUACAACCGCGACGUGCCGAGCUUCGAGUCGACGUACGGCAUGCUGUCGUUGAACAGUCUCAGCUUGUUGUCACCGGCCCUGUCCGCGAGUUUGUUCAUCAGCUCCCGCCUCGUGUCGUUCAUGGCCGUCAUGUUCUCGACGUAAAGCCCGUUGAACGUGUAGGUGGAGCGAUUGACUUCGACCUUGCCGUAGGUGAGCUCGGAGAAAAAGGACGCAUCGGAGUAGCGGAGGAGGCAGGCGUCGUAGUUGGCCUUGACCGUCCGGCUUCCGGGGCACACCUGCUUGAUCCCGGCGGGCGCUCCGGCGAGGCAUUUCUUGCACUCCGUCGCGUUGUAGUCGGCGUGGCACAUGAUAAGGCCGAAUACCUGGUAGGCAGUACCCGUCCCGACCGAGCUGGUGUUAAACCAACCAUCGUCGGUGGCGGCCGUGGCGAGCGUGGAGAGGAGCUGGUCGAGGUUCUUCUCGAACUGGUUGCCCACGGUGUAGUUGCCGGUGGUCGAGCAGUCUGGCCAGAGCGGCUCUUCGUAGUUGCUCCGAGCAACUGCCGCCGAGGCAACCACGGCGAGGAGGAAGAGGAUGAUGACAAGGCGAGGAGCCAUAGCUGGCGACGCCUUGAAUUUGCUAGGAACAUGAAUGCUUUGGUCCCAAUUUAUCUUGGAUGACAAUUGAAGGGACGGGGUUCAUGUGCAGUUUUUUCAAAGAGAACUAGUGUUCGAUUACGCGUUGGAUCAUAUAGUAUACACUACUGGUUGGCCACUUGGCCAGAUCACUGUUUGGUGUUUGCACCGUAUAUAUGUACCGUGACCGAGUCUGUCUCGCGGUUAACUAAAAGGGGUCGUUAGCUGAUUGGAAUGAAUGGGUCUAUCUCUCUAGUAAGGGGUAAUUUUUUUGGACACCAUUGGCGAUAAUGCAUAGGAACCAGUCAGCUUUGCAAUUGCAUAGUAAGGAUUACGUACGAAAAUGAUUCGGUCCACCGCAAAAGAAAAAAAGAAGAAGAAGAAGACGACUCGGUCCGUGCGCCCGAUCCAACGAAAAGUAAUCGGCUGUGUUUCCACUGCUGGAGUGCUGGUACUGCUCCCUGUCACAGCCGAAGAUGUGUAGCCGAAAGCAUCAAUCGGCGCUAGGAACGUUCCCUACUACCGAACACGCUUUUCGCAUACAGUUGAGCGGACUGCAUGAAAGAAACGGAAAGGCUAAAAAACUGUCGACACAUUUUUCUCUAGAAAUAUGUCGAUUUCUGAUCCAUUAGAUCAACUGUAGGAUUCGGGCUAUUUUGGUUGACGAAAAUAAAAUUGUACUGUAAAGAAUCGAACUAGGAUCUCCAGUGGCUUGUCCAGCGGCCCUGACCAACUGAUCGAGCAAAGAUUUUGGCUUGAAUUAAAAUUACAUACUAAUUACACUUAAAUUGCAUAUUAUUUACAUAUGUAAUUUAGAGACUUACAUUGUAAAUACACUAAAAUUACAUAUGUAAUUUAUAGACUUACAUAUGUAAUUUUAGCACUUACAUUGUAAAUAUACUAAAAUUACAUAUGUAAUUUAUGAACUUACAAUGUAAAUACAUACCGACUAUUUUUUUUGUGAAAAAUAUGGCGCUAUAAAUAUAGCUGCACCCGAAAGAAAAUGUCUACGAAAAUCAUGAUUUUCACGUGCGGCUAGCGCAACCGUUGUGAAAACGAAAAAUCACGAAAAAAGAUAAAAAUUCCAAAAAUCAAAAAAUAAACUGCCGCCACGUACGGCUCGCUACGGUUGUCUAUCCUCAGCGUGUUGUCACCGGCCCUCUCCGCUAGCUUGUUCAGAAACUGCCAUCGCGUGUUGUUCAUGGUGGUCACGUUCUGGACGACGAUUUGGUCACCGGCUAAUUUUGUGUAGCUGAUGUUGGUGCUGGCGUCGUAGGCGGAGAAGAAAGGCUUGUCGGAGUAGCGGAGGAGGCAGGCGUCGUUGCUGGCGGUCACCGCCCGGCUUCCGGGGCACUCCUGUCUGACCCCAGCGGGCGCCCGGGCAAGGCAUUCCUUACACCUCGUCGCAUCGCCGGCGUCGGCGUAGCACAUGAUGAGGCCGAACGCCUGGUCGGGACCCGUCCCGACCGAGCUGGUGUUGAACCAGUCGCCGGCGAUGGCGCCGGCAGAGAGGCUGGAGAGGAGCUGGUUGAGGUUCUUCUCGAACUGGCUGCCCCUGGUAUAGUUACCGGUGGUCGAGCAGUCUGUCCUGAACCACUGAUCUACUAUCUCGUUGCUCUGAGCAACUGCCGCCGAGGCAACCAUGGCGAGGAGGAGGAGGAUGACAAGCCGCGAUCAGAAAGUAUUUUCUACACCUAGGUACCAUGGCACCUAGGUGUAUGCAUAUAAUUUAAAUAAUUAUAUAAAAAAUACAUAAAAUUUAAUAAGAUAGUCCAUGAUAAUAUAAGACACUAUGCAAAUAUGUAAGUCUAAAUUCGAUCGAUAUAUGAAGAAACAAAAAUAACAAAUUUUAUCGGCACUGUACGGGUACUAUUGACUGUCUGAUUUUAUUAUUUUUGUUUCUCUAGUUGUAGAUUAAAUUUAGUCAUGCAUGUUUGUAUAUAGACUUGUAUCAUCACAAACGAUGUUACUAAUUUUUUUUAAUUUUUUCUAUAACUAUUUGAGUCGUAUGCAAAUGAUACAAGUCACGAUGCCAUGCCCAUGACCGGCUAGCUGGCGACGCUCUUGAUUUGCUAUGAACAUGAAGGCUUUGAUCCCAAUUUAUCUUGGAUUACAAUUGAAGGGAUGGAGUGCAUAUGUAUGCAUGUUUUUUUUUAAGACAACUAGUAGCGGUCAAGCACCAGUUCUCGAUGAUACGCGCUGGACCAUGUCUAGUUGGACACUUGGCAAGAUACUCCUAAUUAUUUGGUGUGUGUAUCGUACCGUACCGUGACCGAGUGGGUGUGUUCGGAUGCCCCUUUUCUCAUCCCCUCAUCAUCGCUUUCCACGUGCACGCUUUUUAAACUGUUAAAUGGUAUGUUUUUUAAAAAAGUUUUUAUACGAAAGUUGCUUAAAAAAAUCAAAUUAAUCUAUUUUUUAAAAAAAUUAGCUAAUAUUUAAUUAAUCACGCGCUAAUGGACUACUCUGUUUGCCGUGCGUUACCGUUCCAGCUGGGAUAUGGAGAUCACCUGUGUUCGUUACUUCUGGAUAGGAGCGAAUCCCUCCAGCACGAAAAAUGGGGUGAUCCAUUAACACGUGAUUAAUUAAGUAUUAGCAAAUUAUUUUUUAAAAAAUGGAUCAAUAUAAUUUUUUAAGCAAUUUUCGUAUAGAAACUUUUUAUAAAAAACACACCGUUUAGUAGUUUAAAAAGCGUGCUUAUGAAAUACAAGAGAGAGAGGUUAGGAACCUGGGUUGCCGAACACAUGAGGUCGUUACGUGAUUGGAAUGAAUGGGUCUCUCUCUCUCUGGUGGUAAUUUUUUUGGACGCCAUUGGUAAUAUUGCAUAGGAACCAGCCAGCUUGCAAUUGCACGCCUGGCUGGAUGAGUCAGUACUUGAGGAUUAUUGGGCUGUCCCAUCCUAUAGAUCGAAUAAAGUGGGUGAAGUACGGAUAUUUUGCUGUUUUCGCAUGCCACGGCCUUCCUCAUUCUCUCUCAACUCACUGUAGUCACCGCCCUAAGGGCAUCCAUAAUAUACAUCUAAAGUGGAUAGUAAGGAAUAAAAUACCACUACUACCCGGUUGUAUACAUUGUGAGAGCAGUAAGUAGCUAAUACUAAGUAAUAUGCUUACUACCUAGUAAUAAGGAAUAAACAAAUGAUUUCUCUCAUUUUUCUCUCAUGGCUAAUGAUUGUGGGGUCCAGCUUACUACCCAUUUUUGUUCUUUCACCAUUGUGGCUACAACAACAACUAAUACCCACUGACACAGGGCUCACCCUUAUUCACAAAGUAGGGAGUAAACAUUGGUGAUGCCUUAACCAACGAGACCGUAACAGUGAGCAUAUUGGACUUGGACCAAGAUCAGCCCCAAAUAAUUUUAGGCCUUCUUCUUUUCUAGACACUUUUCUAAUAAGUUAUCGUGAUAUGCUUUUUUUUUUUAGGAAAGGCAUUGCGCCCAGCUUUCACUAGAAAGCGUAAGAGUUCAUUACAAAAGCUAAAAGAAAACGAAAGCAAUAUCAUGCUGGGGAUUCCAGCUGACUAUGAAAGGUCCUGAGCACGCAGGCUCAUUCAAAAGCUGCUGGCACAGCCACAACCAGCCAGAGAGAAAACACUACUGCAAACAGAGAACUAAUCAGUGAUCGAAGGACUGCAGCGAAGAUCUCCUGUCUCGUGGAAGCUGGCAAGCAACAAGCCCCUUAGCGUAUCCAAGUCUCCCCUCAUUUUCACCGGCGCCAAACGUCUCCACUGUACCAGAAAAGACACAAUCUUAUAAGAUAAUAUCAUAAUGUCAGCUACUUCCUCCGUUUUACAAUGUAAGUCAUUCUAACAUUUUCCACAUUCAUAGUGAUGUUAAUGAAUCUAGAUAGAUAUAUAUGUCUAGAUUCAUUAACAUCAAUAUGAAUAUAGGAAAUGCUAUAAUGACUUACAUUGUGAAACGGAGGGAGUAGCAACUUAUUGUUAAAAACCCAGUCGUUUCUCACACUCCACAAAGCCCAGAAACAUGCAGCAAUCAAAGUGAGCCCAACAAGAUUCUUUUCCCUAUUUUUGUUCUGAACAAUUUCUAAGAGAUCAGCUCUGGAAGUAGGGACUCUAUCCCAAUGUAAAGUAUCUCUAAUAAUAUUACACCACAGGAACUGAGCAGGGGCACAUCUAAACAUAAGAUGAUCAACAUAUUCUUCUAAGCCACACAAUUUGCACUCAAAACUCCCCCCCCCCCCCCCAAAUCAUCUUUUUCGGCUGAUUAGCAACUUGGAUUCUUCCUUUCAAGGCUAGCCAUAAGAAGAUCUUGAUUUUCAGAGGGGCUGGGUGUUGGCAACUUUUUGUGACAAGUUGACAAACACGAUCGCAGCACCUAACGCUUUGCGGUGAUCUCAGAGUCGCCAACCACCUCAAUCUAGCAAAAGCUAAACCAAGAUGGGUUUUGAUAACUAAACUGGCUAGCGGAGCCGAUUCUAGAUAGAGCGAUAGAUAACUACCCGUCUCGUGGGCAAAACGGAAUAUUUUCAGGAUAAACCUACAAAGAAGUAUCGCACUCUCGCAGCGGCGGCGGACGAUUUACGAAGCAAAUCGACAAAGAUGAACAAACUAAACUAUAAUUAGAAGCAAAAGUAAAAGAACGAUUCGAUUGAUUGAUUGUUGGUUGAUUGUUUACAAUGAACCGGCCUUACCCCCUUAUAUAAGGGUUGGUCUUGCCCUCUACAGGCCCUCCUCCACGUUCAACUCGGGAUAGAAUCCAAAGGAAACCGAAACAUGCCUUCCCGAGCAAGGAAACCGCGAGACCCAACGAAACAGACUCGGGCUCGGACUCUGCCGGUCAGACCGACCACACAUUGCCGGUCUGACCGGUCCACUGUCAGCGGUCUGACCGGCCAACUAACGGCGGUCAGACCGGCCCUCUCAGAGGAAAACCGGUAGACUUCCAAACUUUGGCAAUUUUUCCUAUUUUAUCCCUAGGUGCCAAAUGUGGGUGCAUUUCUAUAUGGACUCUAUACUCUACUUCUAAUAUUCCUUAUUUUUAAUUCCAAAUUUCUAUUAUUUCUUAAUUGUAUUUCUAUAUGGACUCUAUACUAUACGUCUAAUAUUCCUUAUUUUUAAUUCCGAAUUUCAGUUAUUUCCUAAUUGAAUUUCUAUAUGUACUCUAUACUCUACUUCUAAUAUUUCUUAUUUUUAAUUCCAAAUUUAUAUUAUUUCAUGUAUUUCUAUAUGGACUCUAUACUCUACUUCUAAUAUUCCUUAUUUUUAAUUCUGAAUUUCAGUUGUUUCCUAAUUUUAUUUCUAUAUGGACUCUAUACUCUACUUCUAAUAUUUCUUAUUUUUAAUUCCGAAUUUCAGUUGUUUCCUAAUUGUAUUUCUAUAUGGACCCUAUACUCUACUUCUAAUAUUCCUUAUUUUUAAUUCCGAAUUUCAGUUAUUUCCUAAUUGUAUUUCUAUAUGGACUCCAGUAUCCUCUUCUAAUAUUCUUUAUUUUUAAUUCCGAAUUUCAACUAUUUCUAAAUUGUAUUUCUAUAUGGACUCUAGUCUCCUCUUCUAAUAUUCCUUAUUUUUUUAAUUUCGAAUUUCAGCUAUUUCUAAAUUGUAUUUCUAUAUGGACUCUGCUUUUUCUUUUUCUCCGAUUAAUGUGAGAAUUUCUAGGCCAUGAGAGCGAACGUGGAGGCUCCUUUUUCUAUUCCUUUAAUAAUAUAGUAGGUAUAUUUAACACUGAAUCAAAUGAUAGGAAAAAAAAUUAAUAAUUAUACAAGAAAUAUUAAUUCUUUUCAUAACUACCCUUCUACUACACUAGCUACUACACCUAGUAUAGAGGUGUAGUAGCAACGAAUUUUCACCCUUAGAUCCCAUAUCUUCAACGGCCCACAUCCAACCAAAGAUACACUAAAAAAAUUAAUAAAAAAAUUAAUCCAAUGUGCAGUUGAUCUUAUACACAAAAUGCAUUGCUGAGAUGUCAAAUAUGUCAUCUUAGCAAGGACGAUGUCUGAGUGUUAGGAACGCCUAUGUUGCCGCUGCUGGUGCUGCUCCCUGUUACAGCCGAAGAUGUGUAGCCGAAAGCAUCAAUCGGUGGCAGGAACGUCGCCACCGGCAUCCUCGCCGGGAGGCUCGGCGGCGGCGCCUCACCUCGCAGCACGCUGACGGCCUGCCUGAUCACCGGCCUCACGCUCCUGUCAGGGUGCGCGCACCAGAGCCCGACGAUCAUGACACGCUCCAUCUCCCCGCCGUUGAACUCGCCAUCGAGCCGGUGAUCGGCGGCGUCAAGAAUUCUCCCCUUGCCGUACAGAUCCCAGACCCAUUGAACAAGGUGGAUCAUGUCUUGUCCUUUCUCAGCUUGGUGUUCCGGUGCCAUUACCGGCGGUCGGCCGCAGGCAAUCUCGAGGAGGACGAUACCGAAGCUGUAUAUGUCGGACUCAGUGUUGGCCCUACCGGUGAUCAUGCACUCCGGAUCCAUGUACCCCAUCGUGCCGGCGAUCACCGUGGUGUGGGAGCCCCGGCCAUGGUCGACGAGCCUCGCGAGGCCGAAGUCGCCAAGCUUGGCGUUGAAGGCGGCGUCAAGCAUGAUGUUGCUCGGCUUGAUGUCGCGGUGCACCACACACUGCUCCCACCCCUCGUGCAGGUACAGCAACGCCGAGCCGAUCCCGAGCACGAUCUCGUGCCUGAGUGGCCAUGGGAGCGCGUUGGCGCUAUGGUUGUAUAGGUGGGUGUCGAGGCUGGCAUUGGGCAUGAGCUCGUAGACGAGGAGGAGCUCGCCGCCGCCAUGGCACCAGCCGAUGAGCUGCACCAGGUUGCGGUGGCGGAGGCGGCUGAUGAUCUGCACCUCCGACGCGUACUCCUUCCUCCCCUGCUUUGAGCUCUUGGACACUCUUUUAAUGGCGACGUCAAGGUUCAAUUCUUUCAAGAACCCUCUGUAAACUGACCCGAAACCGCCUUCCCCGAGCUUGUGCUCGUCGGAGAAGUCGUCGGUGGCGAUGGCGAGCUCGCCGUAGCGGAACCGUUUGGGUCCAGUCCCCUUCUCAAAGUCACCGGCCUCAUCGUCGAAGAAGUCACCCUCGUCCAUCUCCUGCUCCAUCGUUAGGCCGGCGUGCUUCCGCCGGCGGUGCAAGAGGAGCCAGAUUGAGACACCAAGAACCACCACGAACGAGACGGCGCCGACGGUCAAUCCGGCCACGAGUCCUAUCGACACCGAGGGAGGAGGAGGUGCAGGCGGUGCCGGAGGCGGCGACGGCGGCGGGGGCAGCGUGAUGUCUAUCGGCCAAAGCUGGUACCUGAGGUAGCAGCUGUACCCCUUAAUGGCGCCGCCGCUGUUGUUGGGGAAGGUGUUGCUGAGGUCAUUGACAUAGCCGCUCAGGCACCUCCGGCACUCGCUCGCCGCCAGGUCCCUCGUGCACUGCGCCAGCCCGUACAACGCCGACGUGCCGAGCUUCGAGUCGACGUACGGCAAGCUGCCGUUGUCCAGCCUGAGCUUGGUGUCGCCGGCCCUCUCGGCGAGCUGGCUCAUCAGCUGCCACCGCGUGUCGUUCAUGGCGGUCAUAUUCUCGACGUAGAGGUUCGUGUCGUCGACGUCCAAGGAAACGUUGGUGUUGCCGCCAUAGGUGGUGAGCUCGGAGAAGAAGGGCUCGUCGGAGUAGCGGAGGAGGCAGGCGUCGUAGUUGGCGUUCACCGACCGGCUUCCGCGGCACGGAUGCUGGACCACAGCGGGCGCCAUGGCGAGGCAUUUCUGGCACUCCGUCGCGUUGCUGUCGGCGUAGCACAUGAUGAGGCCGAACACCUGGUCGGCGCCCGUCCCGACCGAGCUGGUGUUGAACCAGUCCCCGGCGAUGGCGCCGCCGGAGAGGCUGGUGAACAGCUGGUCGAGGUUCUUCUUGUACUGGCUGUCGCCGGUGUAGUUGCCGGUGGUCGAGCACGACGGCUGAUACGGGAGGUUCAGGUUGUGAUGACCGAUUGCCGUCUCGCAUAGCGAGCCGACGACGACGGCGAGGAAGAGGAGGAAGAUGACAAGGUCCGAGGCCAUGGCCAGCCAGCGACGCCACUAGUUCCUAGGAACAGGAAGGCUUUUUCGAUGACGAAUUAGGGAUGGAGACUGUUAGAGUUUGUGUGGAUCUCCUGUGAUGUUUUCUUCGCGUUUAGCUACCGAUGUCGAUUUUAGGGCUGGUUUUAUAACAGAGACUUAUGAAA
rnacentral:lncRNA from 1 species